GCGAGCAUAAUAUAAUGGUAUUAUAUUAACCUUCCAAGUUAAAUAUAUGGGUUCAAUUCCCAUUGUUCGCU
rnacentral:tRNA from 2 species